rnacentral:lncRNA from 1 species
AGGGUCUGGAGAUGGGGAGAUGAUCCCGGAUGAUCCAGGGAACCCCACAGGUUACCACAAGGUCCUUACGAGAAGAAGGCAGGAGGGAGAAAAUCAGAGAAGGAGCAGCAAGGACAAAGCGGGGUCAGGGUGAGAUGAGAGGACAGACACACAGAGACACGGAAACCAGCCCUGGGUCACACAGCUGGGAAGCGGCCGUGACUUUCCUACUCAGGCCCGUGGCACACGGAGCCCCAGAGAAAGGCUCAGGAGAAGGGAGACGCGUGGGACUAAUGGUCUUGGAAGCACAGCCGGGGUGACGGAAGGUUCAGGAUGGCCCCUCAGGAGACCUGAGCUCUCGCCCAAGAACGCUGGGGCAGCUGGAUACCUCUUCCAGGCCUCAGAUACCUCAUUUGUCAAAAGGGGGAGUCAGACAAAACCAUCUCUGAACUCCUUCUAACUAUAACAUGUGUGGUCUGAAAUUUUUAAAAAGGGAAAGGCAAAGAAAGCAGAGAAGAGGUGAAGAGAGGAGGGGAAAAAAGAACAGAGAAAAAUCUCUGUGUGCUGGGGGACUGCUUUCCUUCUAGCUCUGAUGUACUUAUCUCUGUCCAUAAAGAGAAAUCCCUCCCCAUCAUACUGUUGACUUUUGGCCCUUCGUCUACAUUACCAAACCUCGUUCUUACUGCAUCUGUGCUUCUAUUAUGAGUGGCGUCUUUCCAUCCUGAAGUAGGCAGGGUAAAAACAAAUGAAACCAGGGAUCCCAAUUACCUCACUUGUCUGUGUUCAACGGCAGAGGCACAGAGAGCCGAAAAUGCAAGAACACGGUAGCUAGGAGGGACCGAUUCUCAUGCAGGGACAACAGUGCCAGCCCUAGGCAGUAUCACAGGUGCUGGGUUGGGGUCUGGGCUGAGAAUCUGGGUCUCAUCAGCGACAUCAACAUGGAUCAUGCCACCAGCAGUGACAGCAUCUUCAUGCAGCCAGAAGCCGCUGACUCUAUGAAGAAUGGAAGACGGCCUCGAGUACUUUCCAGGUACUGGCACAUUGCCAAGGCCUCUCACGUCCCCCUUCCUGCCUGAAAAUCCACUGUUCAUGUGCUACUUCUGCCAGAGGUUUAGAUAAGAGGAGGGAGUACACAGUUGUCUGAAGGUAAGGGGCACCAUCCUGGGACCUUCCACAUACUCCUCAGUGAGCAAUAGUGCACCCUAUGUUUGAACUGAGGAGACAGGGAGACUUGAGGCAGAUCAGGGCUUCUGGACCGUGGUUCAAUUUGCUGCCCAGGUCCAUCCGGGGGCAGCAUCCCUGGCACCAUUUGCUUUUACCUAAUAAUCCAACACACGCACUAAAGAAAGGAGGAAAGUCACCCCUGCUUCCAUCUCUCAUCUACUGCAUUCAUGGCCCA